rnacentral:rRNA from 1 species
GAUGAACGCUGGCGGCGUGCCUAAUACAUGCAAGUCGAGCGGUAAGGCCCUUCGGGGUACACGAGCGGCGGACGGCUGAGUAGCGCGUAGGAACGUACCCCAAAGUGAGGCAUAAGCACCAGAAAUGGUGUCUAAUACCGCAUGUGGUCUUCGGAUUAAAGCCUUCGGGCGCUUUGGGAGCGGCCUGCGUAUGAUUAGCUUGUUGGUGAGGUAAUGGCUCACCAAGGCGACGAUCAUUAGCUGGUCUGAGAGGAUGAUCAGCCAGACUGGGACUGAGACACGGCCCAGACUCCUACGGGAGGCAGCAGUAGGGAAUUUUCCACAAUGGACGAAAGUCUGAUGGAGCAACGCCGCGUGCAGGAUGAAUGCCUUCGGGUUGUAAACUGCUUUUAUAUGUGAAGAUUAUGACGGUAGCAUAUGAAUAAGGAUCGGCUAACUCCGUGCCAGCAGCCGCUGUAA